rnacentral:rRNA from 1 species
GUGGGGAAUUUUGGACAAUGGGCGCAAGCCUGAUCCAGCCAUUCCGCGUGAGUGAAGAAGGCCUUCGGGUUGUAAAGCUCUUUCGGCCGGGAAGAAAUCGCACGGGUUAAUACCCUGUGUGGAUGACGGUACUGGAAGAAGAAGCACCGGCUAACUACGUGCCAGCAGCCGCGGUAAUACGUAGGGUGCGAGCGUUAAUCGGAAUUACUGGGCGUAAAGGGUGCGCAGGCGGCGCCAUAAGACAGAUGUGAAAUCCCCGGGCUCAACCUGGGAACUGCGUUUGUGACUGUGGUGCUUGAGUGCGGCAGAGGGGGGUGGAAUUCCACGUGUAGCAGUGAAAUGCGUAGAGAUGUGGAGGAACACCGAUGGCGAAGGCAGCCCCCUGGGUCGACACUGACGCUCAUGCACGAAAGCGUGGGGAGCAAACAGGAUUAGAAACCCUAGUAGUCC